rnacentral:rRNA from 1 species
AUUGAACGCUGGCGGCAUGCCUUACACAUGCAAGUCGAACGGCAGCACGGGAGCAAUCCUGGUGGCGAGUGGCGAACGGGUGAGUAAAGUAUCGGAACGUGCCCAGUCGUGGGGGAUCACGUAGCGAAAGUUACGCUAAUACCGCAUACGAUCUAUGGAUGAAAGCGGGGGAUCGCAAGACCUCGCGCGAUUGGAGCGGCCGAUAUCGGAGUAGGUAGUUGGUGGGGUAAAGGCUCACCAAGCCGACGAUCUGUAGCUGGUCUGAGAGGACGACCAGCCACACUGGGACUGAGACACGGCCCAGACUCCUACGGGAGGCAGCAGUGGGGAAUUUUGGACAAUGGGCGAAAGCCUGAUCCAGCCAUGCCGCGUGCAGGAUGAAGGCCUUCGGGUUGUAAACUGCUUUUGUACGGAAUGAAAAGGUUUGGCCUAAUAAGCUGAGCUCAUGACGGUACCGUAAGAAUAAGCACCGGCUAACUACGUGCCAGCAGCCGCGGUAA